rnacentral:rRNA from 1 species
GACGAACGCUGGCGGCGUGCUUAACACAUGCAAGUCGAGCGGUAAGGCCCUUUCGGGGGUACACGAGCGGCGAACGGGUGAGUAACACGUGGGUGACCUGCCCUCAGCUCUGGGAUAAGCCCGGGAAACUGGGUCUAAUACCGGAUAUGACUUCAUGACGCAUGUUGUGGAGUGGAAAGCCUUGUGCGGCUGAGGAUGGGCCCGCGGCCUAUCAGCUUGUUGGUGGGGNGAUGGCCUACCAAGGCGACGACGGGUAGCCGGCCUGAGAGGGCGACCGGCCAC